UCCGAGAGGAGAAAAAAGGGAGAAAAAAGAGAAAGCAAAGCAGAUAGGUGUGGAGGCUGAAAAAGGGAUGUACAGUGCGAGUUACAUUGCCAGGCUUUGUGUGUUCUCAUUGCAGAAGAAGGGGGAAAUCAAAGCAGCGAGGGCUCCGAGAGGGACCGAUGGAGAGGUGAGCUUGGCAGUGGAGGACGGCUACUUCCUGUUCCUGCUGGAGUGACCCACAGGUCUGAGGAGGAGCGAGAGACAGAGCGAGGGAGAGGGAGAGAGCGCGAGAGCGAAAGAGAGGGAGAGAGAGAGAGAGAGAAAGGGAGAGAGAUUGACAGUUGAGGCCAGGCAGUUGCUGGAACCACAGGCUGAUGGACGGUUAAGCAGUUGGAGGGCUGCCAGUCAGACUCAGACAGAGUCUGGUGUGUGGGAGAAUUCCUGGAGAUCAGCACUUUCUGAGAACCUCAAACCAGCUUGACACCAAGAACCAUACCAUGGCCAAAGUCACUGAGAUUCAUUCUAAACCUUGGCUGCCUUAAUCCUGAAGGAUUCCAUUUCCUGCAACCAGAGAGUCCAAAGAAAUCAAGCAGCAGGAGAGCACUGUGUCCAGAGGGGAGGUCUCCAACAAUGCAUCAGCUUCAGCUGGACCACCAACAGCCAGGCCAAUUAGUGGCCAUUGUCUAGAGCAGCGGUGAGCUCUUAGCGCAGAGACCACCAGGAUGGAUCCUAGAACAAACCCCCUCACCAACCUCCCUGCCAUCUUCAGAUUCUCUGUUCAGCUCUUUGCACUUGUGUUACAUCUCUACCACACCCACUGUCAUUUUUCCAAAGUGCAAUUCUCCCACAACGCUUUAUUCUGGAGAGUGAAGGUUUGUUGAUAUCCAUGGUGCUGGGACUAUUACUGUAGGCCAGUAGGUUCCUAGCCACUUCAGUGUUUUUAGCAGGAGCCUUGCUCUUUCUCUCAUUCCCUCUGUCUCUCACCCACACACUCAUUCAGUUUGUCUCUUAUACGCGUUCUCAUCUCUGUACUAUUUUUCACUGUUAUUUUGCCAUCUCAGCUUUUCCUCUCCCCCCCUCCUUCUCACACACUCUGCUCCCCACUCCCCCCUGCAUCUCCAUUUUUCUCUUGUCCUGUCCUAUUACUGGCUGCUCCUCUGUGCCCUGUUCUGUGGGGUCACAGGUGCUCCUACCUUCUCUCUUCUCAGAGGCCUCUCUACCUCUUUCAUCUGUCCAUUUCCAGGUUAAGAGCCCAGUGGCUGAGAGGCUCAGUAGAUUAGUUGCCUUUCAUUCCCUGCAUGUAGCGUACACACACACACACACACACAAACACACACACACACACACACACACACACACACACACACACACACACACACACACACACACACAAACACACACACACACACACACACACACACACACACACACACACACACACACACACACACACACACACAAAUUCUCUACUUCAGUGUUUCCCAAAACCUUAAAUGCUUCUAAUGCCUUGUAAUUUAAAAGAAAACUACUCUAAUUUCUUGUAACAUUUUGACUGUGGUAUUAUUUUGCAUGAUAAUUUGCAAUGUUACAGUUUAGCAUCAUUCAUUACUCUUGGUCUCGUCACCUCCCUCCUUUUUGUCCAUCUCCAGCCAGUGCUAUUAGAGAGAGAGUAUCAGGAAAGUGCAUGCUUUCUGUUGUGUGCUAUCUGAGCCACUGGCCUGGCAAGUGAAAACGAAUGUUCAAAAGGUUGUGCUUUAUAUUUAGCAGAGGAGGUGACCUCAGAGUGGCUUAAAAGGGCUCACAGACCUAAAGGUGCAUUGCAAGUCUUACACUAAUUCACUGUGAUAGCUAAAAAGCUCAGCACAGGCCAGUGAUGAGAGCAGACUCCAGAGGAUCAGGAAGAGGCCACUGUGUGGUCAGUACAUGUUAUUCAGCAUAAAUAUUGAAUUUAGAAAAGCCGUUAAGUGAACUCAUGUCAGAACUGUUUGCAUACUGUUCA